rnacentral:tRNA from 18 species
GGAGAGAUAUCGAAGCGGUCAUAACGAGGCGGUCUUGAAAACCGUUUGUCCGAAAGGGCGCGAGGGUUCGAAUCCCUCUCUCUCCG